rnacentral:rRNA from 1 species
CCUACGGGAGGCAGCAGUGGGGAAUUUUGGACAAUGGGCGAAAGCCUGAUCCAGCCAUUCCGCGUGAGUGAAGAAGGCCUUCGGGUUGUAAAGCUCUUUCGCAAGGGAAGAAACGAUGCAGUCGAAUAAACUGUGUUAAUGACGGUACCUUGAUAAGAAGCACCGGCUAACUACGUGCCAGCAGCCGCGGUAAUACGUAGGGUGCAAGCGUUAAUCGGAAUUACUGGGCGUAAAGCGUGCGCAGGCGGUUUUGUAAGUCAGAUGUGAAAUCCCCGAGCUCAACUUGGGAACUGCGUUUGAAACUACAAGACUAGAAUAUGUCAGAGGGGGGUAGAAUUCCACGUGUAGCAGUGAAAUGCGUAGAGAUGUGGAGGAAUACCAAUGGCGAAGGCAGCCCCCUGGGAUAAUAUUGACGCUCAUGCACGAAAGCGUGGGGAGCAAACAGGAUUAGAUACCCUGGUAGUCCACGCCCUAAACGAUGUCUACUAGUUGUUGGUGGAGUAAAAUCCAUGAGUAACGCAGCUAACGC